rnacentral:rRNA from 1 species
GUUCGUUUUUAUGAGCGUUCGGUGGAUGCCUUGGCAUCGGGGGCCGAUGAAGGACGCGGUGGCCUGCGAUAUUCCUCGGGGAGCCGGCUUGCGGGCUGUGAUCCGAGGGUUUCCGAAUGGGGGGACCCGGCGCCCGUUGUGGGGCGUCACCCGCGUCUGAAUGUCAUAGGGCGCGGGGGGUGACGCGGGGAAGUGAAACAUCUCAGUACCCGCAGGAGUGGAUAUUCCGUGAGUAGUGGCGAGCGGAAGCGGAUGAUGGUUAAACCGUGCGCGUGCGAUCACCCGGCGGGGGUUGCGGGCGCGGUGUUGUCGGGGCGCGUUCUUCCCGUCGCCGCCGCGGCGGGGCGCAGUGCAUUGAACCGGUCGGGUAGCCGAAUCCCCUGGGAUGGGGGGCCGCAGCGGGUGACAGCCCCGUAGGCGGAACCCGGCGGGCUGCGCGGGCGCGGCCCCCAGUAGCACGGGGCCCGUGGAAUCCUGUGUGAAUCUGCCGAGACCACUCGGCCGCCUGAAUACCUCCCGAUGACCGAUAGCGGACGAGUACCGUGAGGGAAUGGUGAAAAGUACCCCGGGAGGGGAGUGAAACAGUACCUGAAACCGGGCGCUCACGAGCCGUCAGAGCCCCUUGUGCGCAUCCUCGGGCCGUGUGUCCGGGGGGCGGGGGGUGAUGGCGUGCCUAUUGAAGAAUGAGCCUGCGAGUCGCCGCCGCGUCGCGAGGUUAACCCGUGUGGGGGAGCCGUAGCGACAGCGAGUCCGAAUGGGGCGCCCAGUGGCGCGGCGCGGACCCGAAGCGGGGUGAUCUACCCAUGGCCAGGUUGAAGCACGUGUAAGAGCGUGUGGAGGACCGCACCCGCCUCAGUUGAAAAUGGGGGGGAUGAGCUGUGGGUAGGGGUGAAAGGCCAAUCAAACCCCGUGAUAGCUGGUUCUCCCCGAAAUGCAUUUGGGUGCAGCGUCCCGUGCUCCCCGGCGGAGGUAGAGCUACCGGUUGGCUGAUGGGCCCCACAGGGUUACUGGCGUCAGCCGAACUCCGAAUGCCGUCGGGCGGUGAGCGGGGCAGUGAGACCGCGGGGGAUAAGCUUCGCGGUCGAGAGGGGAACAGCCCGGAUCGCCGGCUAAGGCCCCCAAGCGCGCGCUAAGUGGGAAAGGAUGUGCGGUCGCGGUGACAACCAGGAGGUUGGCUCAGAAGCAGCCAUCCUUGAAAGAGUGCGUAAUAGCUCACUGGUCAAGUGGUCGUGCGCCGACAAUUGAGCGGGGCUCAAGCGCGCCGCCGAAGCCGCGGAUCCGCCGCGAUGGGCUCUGCCGCCCCCUGUGGGGGGGUGGUGGGGCGCGGCGGGUGGUAGGGGAGCGUCCCGCGCGGGGUGAAGCCGCCGGGUGACCGGGGGUGGACGGCGCGGGAGUGAGAAUGCAGGCAUGAGUAGCGAUACUGGGGUGGGAGUCCCCAGCGCCGUAUGACCAAGGGUUCCAGGGCCAGGCUGGUCCGCCCUGGGUGAGUCGGGACCUAAGGCGAGGCCGACGGGCGUAGUCGAUGGAUGACGGGUUGAUAUUCCCGUACCGGACCGGAUACCGACCGUGCCGACGCGCGGGUGCUGACCCACGCCCCGCGCCGCCCGUGUACGCCCCCGCGUCCCGGUCUUCGGGCCGGGCGGGGGCGGGGCGGCGGGGGUCUGGGGACCCUCCGCGCAGGUAGGCAAGCGUAUUAACAGGGGUGACGCGCAGUGGUGGCCCCGCGGGUCUGAUGGCUCGGCCCGUUCAAGCGCGCGGCCCGCCGCCCAGGCAAAUCCGGGCGGCUGCCUUCGAUGGCGGGGGUGAGGCGCGAUGGUGACCCGGCCCGACCGGCCGGGGAAGUAGGGUGAUCCUGUGGCGCCGAGAAAAGCCUCGACGCGAGGGGCCGGUCCGCCCGUACCCCAAACCGACACAGGUGGUCGGGCAGAGCAUGCCCAGGCGCACGGGCGAACCGUGGUGAAGGAACUCGGCAAAACGCCCCCGUAACUUCGGGAGAAGGGGGGCCCGAACCCUGAGGCCCCGAGCGGGCUGGGGGUGAGGGUCGCAGAGGCCAGGGGGGAGCGACUGUUUACUAAAAACACAGGUCCGUGCGAAGCCGCAAGGCGAUGUAUACGGACUGACGCCUGCCCGGUGCUGGAAGGUCAAGAGGACCCGUCAGCCCCCCUUGCGGGGGUGAAGCGGUGAAUUCAAGCCCCAGUGAACGGCGGUGGUAACUAUAACCAUCCUAAGGUAGCGAAAUUCCUUGUCGGGUAAG